UCUGAUGGUCAUAAUGCAGUAGCGCCACCUGAUUCCAUGCCGAACUCAGAAGUGAAAUGCUGUGAUGCCGAUGGUAGUGUUGGGU
rnacentral:rRNA from 1 species